rnacentral:rRNA from 1 species
CCUACGGGAGGCAGCAGUCGAGAAUCAUUCACAAUGGGGGAAACCCUGAUGGUGCGACGCCGCGUGGGGGAAUGAAGGUCUUCGGAUUGUAAACCCCUGUCAUGUGGGAGCAAAUUAAAAAGAUAGUACCACAAGAGGAAGAGACGGCUAACUCUGUGCCAGCAGCCGCGGUAAUACAGAGGUCUCAAGCGUUGUUCGGAAUCACUGGGCGUAAAGCGUGCGUAGGCUGUUUCGUAAGUCGUGUGUGAAAGGCGCGGGCUCAACCCGCGGACGGCACAUGAUACUGCGAGACUAGAGUAAGGGAGGGGAAACCGGAAUUCUCGGUGUAGCAGUGAAAUGCGUAGAUAUCGAGAGGAACACUGGUGGCGAAGGCGGGUUCCUGGACAUUAACUGACGCUGAGGCACGAAGGCCAGGGGAGCGAAAGGGAUUAGAUACCCUGUAGUC